UCCAAAAGUCAGCUUAGCGCCUUAGUUUAAAACUAAUUGACGUCGUACCAUUGACCAAUAGGCGAGUAACCCGCUGAUUUUCACUUGUUUUAGAAAAUAAAGCUACGCAGAGACGCAGUUUAUUGUCAAUUGAUAAUUUUGCGAAAAAAACGCAGUCUAAUAUAAAAAAUGUGUUUUUUACACAACAUUUGGUAUCGCUUACAAAAGUAUUUUUGUGGGGAGCCGGCCUCCCCGUACGAUGACGACGGAAUUUGCGAACAAAUGACUAUUCAUGAGACGUAUGGCCUUUUAAAGGGUCAGCGGGGCAUUUUCGAGCCUCAUUUACCCCCAAUAAAAGAAGAAAAUGAAGAAUUGGCGGCUAGCGACGAUGGGGACAAUUAAUUAAGUUAAAUAAAUUAAUAAUUUGAUAGUU